rnacentral:rRNA from 1 species
AUGGCAAGAACUCCAAGGCACCGCGACUUAUCAAGCCGGCGACUUCGGUCAUCUCCUCCUGAUGCACCUUCCCACUACCAGAAAGCAACAAAGGCAGCCAAGGAAAAUAAAUUGAAAUUAACCUCGGAGAAAAAGGAUUGGAAACAUGCCACUUGCCCAAUAUGCUUGGAGCGUCCACAUGAUGCUGUCCUCCUGCUGUGUUCUUCACACACCAAGGGUUGUCGACCAUACAUGUGUGGAACCAACUAUCAUCAGUCUAAUUGUCUCGAACAGUUUAAAAAUGCUUAUGUGAAGGAGAAGCCGGCAAAUGAAGUAUCAAUUGCAGUGGCAGCAGCUAGCAAGAAGCCAAAGGAUGUGGAGCUUGCUUGCCCUAUCUGCCGUGGGGAAGUGAAAGGCUGGACAGUGGUUGAACCAGCCCGGCGAUUUCUCAAUCGCAAGAAGAGAACUUGCAUUCAUGAAGACUGCUCGUUCAUGGGAUCAUAUAAGAAACUCUGCAAGCAUGUGAAGGUCAGACAUCCUUCAUCAAAACCUCGUGAAGUUGACCCUGCACGAUUGGCUGAAUGGAAGGAGCUUGAAAGUGCAAAGGAGAGGCAGGAUGCAAUCAGCAUAGUCACAGGCUUGAAUCCAGGAUCUAUGAUUAUUGGGGACUAUCUUAUUGACCCCAAUAGUGGCAGCAGCGACUCUUUUAUGGAUAACUCUGAUUGGAGUGAUGACUCUGACUCUUACACGUUUCCUGAUGGUGGUGAUAUUAUGUUUUCUGGAGCUCCUGAUAUCCGAUCAUUACGAAGAGUGGUUCGCAGAGCUUACAGGACAAGUGGGGCAAGACCAAGGCAAAAUGUCCAGCGUCGCGCUCUAACCAUCUCCAGAAGCAGUGGAAGGCGUGGAUGGCCGCAGGUUGGUUCUGCUCUGUCAGCUCGGAUGCCAAGGGGGAGACAAGCAAGAUCCACAAAUGACAGCUGA